rnacentral:rRNA from 1 species
ACUCCUACGGGAGGCAGCAGUAGGGAAUCUUCCACAAUGGGCGCAAGCCUGAUGGAGCAACACCGCGUGAGUGAAGAAGGGUUUCGGCUCGUAAAGCUCUGUUGUUAAAGAAGAACACGUAUGAGAGUAACUGUUCAUACGUUGACGGUAUUUAACCAGAAAGUCACGGCUAACUACGUGCCAGCAGCCGCGGUAAUACGUAGGUGGCAAGCGUUAUCCGGAUUUAUUGGGCGUAAAGAGAGUGCAGGCGGUUUUCUAAGUCUGAUGUGAAAGCCUUCGGCUUAACCGGAGAAGUGCAUCGGAAACUGGAUAACUUGAGUGUAGAAGAGGGUAGUGGAACUCCAUGUGUAGCGGUGGAAUGCGUAGAUAUAUGGAAGAACACCAGUGGCGAAGGCGGCUACCUGGUCUGCAACUGACGCUGAGACUCGAAAGCAUGGGUAGCGAACAGGAUUAGAUACCCUGGUAGGAUACCG